rnacentral:tRNA from 1 species
GCUUCGAUAGUGUAGUUUGGUCAAGCAUUUAAGGCCCUCACCCUUGAGACCUGGGUUCGAAUCCCGGUCGAAGCACCA